AUGACAGAAAAGGGAAGCUCUAUUUCCGAACUUUUAAUCAGAACGAAGACAGUCUAUGAGAUGAACACUCAUCUCUCCGAACUAUGCUCUGAACUUACUUUGUUUCACAACUAUGAAGAGUCUGUGCGCUACAAUAUUUUCCAUAGCCUACAUAACAUUGUAUUUUGCAGAAUAACAGUGAAUUCACGCCUUGGUUUCAUGAUAGCCUUUUAUAAACUCAUUUAGCCCGAUACUAAUAUCUCAUUUACAAUUUAUUGAACUAAAUAAUUUUGUCAAACUAUAUUGUGAUUAUGUUAAAUGUAUGAGACACUAGGUAUUAGUUAUGUUUCUGUUAUAACUUUUUUUUUCUCUCAAUGUAGCCAAACAUUACGACUUUCACAGUGAGUAUUUAAAAGUUUUUAUUGCAUAUUUGUUCAUACCAUAUUUGUGUCAAAUACCCUUAGCUCUUAUGAUAUUUAAAUUGUUAAAUUGCUUUUUUGAGAGCCGACACUGUAAUUCAGGCUGCAAAGUGGUUGGCCAUUUUGUGUUACACCCGUUUGACACAUACUCCGUCUGCAGUGCUUAUGUGCGUGUUGCAGUACAUGUAUGGCAAGCUAUAAUGCUCAGAAUUACGUAAUGUUAAUUAAAUCACUAUUUAUUAAUAGCAGUCUGUUAAUUAAUAAUUAAACACUGUUGGGUUUCUCACACAAACCGAUCAUUUCGUGUCAGACAUCAAUGUGUCAGUGACAGUAUUUAUAUCACAUUUUACCUCAAAUCAGCCGUCCCCACACCAUCACUUCUGGUAAGUGAGGUCAAAUUACACGAUAUGGCAUAGAGAUACGCACGAGAGAUCACUUCCGCCGCUUGCAUCCCAUUGAGAUACGCCAUAUUGUGUACAUGACUUUGGAACAGAGUAGAGUUAUAAAUUAUAUUCAAAUUAAAUGCAUAUGUGGUGAAAUUACUAGAUUUACUAGAAAUCAGAUACAUUUUAAAUUAAAACUUACAACAGGCUUGACAAAAACAGCCGAUUCUCAUCUUUUCUUUUGUUUUAAAAUCUUUUUUACAAGAAAUCCUGCAGGUCAUAAAGAAAUUAGUUUUUCCACCUCCAAGAAAGGAUGAGUGCUAACCAUUAUGUAACUUUUUUUUACCAAAAUGCCAGGUAUAGUGUCGUUUUCCUUGCUUUAUCCAAGGAAAAAAGCCAUGUGUUGACUUUGA
ensembl:lncRNA